UGGGGCCAAUGACAAGGAAGAUGGAGGUUAUGGAGAGGAAGUCCAUGACUUUGAAGGCUGCCAUGGCUUUGAACAUGCCACGACCUGCUGUUGGUCCAGUGCAGCAGAGAGCAUAAGGUGGAGCUAGACAGAAGCCUGGCUCAACCAGAAAUGAGAAACCAAAUGACCUUGGGAAAGCCUGGGAUGGGCGAAUACGGCAGCUGCUGUCCGCCGUGGGUGGCUACCCACACACCAUGUCCUGGGACAUUACAGCCUGAGGAGGAAUAGAACGUGCAUGCAUUCCAGAACCUGACCCUUUGCAAAGUUAUAACAGGUAAGAUUAGCAGGUAUAUUCUCCGUAAAAAAUAUCCGUGUAAAUCUGUGUUAUGCCAAGUUUGAUUCAGAUUUAAAUGUGCCACCUUUCUUUACAUCCAUUUGCAGAGACCUACACGCAGAACUUCUCUGUCCUGCAGGAAGCGAAUAUUGAGAAUAGCAUUGGGCAUACUCUGAAAUUUGGACUACACAGAUGGUCAGCUGGUCCUCAAGACUGAAAACACACACCAACAUUUUUAUUUUCUG